AUCGCCAUUUUGGACAUGAUAACAAGUGUACACGGUAUUUCAUCGCUCCGCAUAAUUACAGAUUUCCAAGAAUUCUGUCAGAAGAAAUAACACAACAUUGUAUACACCAGUUUUAUGUUUAUCUUGCUUUCUCUUCAUAUAUAUCACAGGAAACGUAUCCUGUGCGAACUACGACGUUCACUCGCCGGAAUACAAAGGAAGACUAAUCCAGUAAUUGUCAAAGUCAAUGAAAAGUUUGAUUUUGUUGACAUCAUAUAUAACCAAGGAUCUCGAAAUCAAAAUUUUUAAAAUGGACAAAUCAUUCUCAUCAUGGAAAUAUAUAUUACACCAAAUGAACCAAUUUCACGGGUUUACUGAUCGUAUUAAUAACGUUGUGGACUUUAUAAGGGAUUAGUUAGUUUGAAAAUAAUUACUAAUUCUUAUUUCGUAAGAAGCCAGAUAUGAGGAGUUACGAUCAUGAAAAUGAAAUUUCUUAAUUAAAAACAGCGCAAGAAUUUUGUUGAUCGCUAGAAAGCAUGGCCCUGCACAGUGGGAGGUCACUUGUAGGCCUCUAAGACCUGCUGACAAUUGAAAUCGAGUACAAAAUAUGAAUUAGAUCGAUCAUAGCAUUUUUCUCGGUUAAAUUAUGAAGACGAAGCGAUCGAUCGAACGAUGAGAAAAAAGAGGGCAGUCGUAAAGCAGAAAAUCCAUCGUGAUUGAACGAGCAAUAUUUGAAUUAUUUUUAAAUAAACGAGAAAUUGAAGUUGUUCGAUAAGAUAAAAAAUCAAAUAAUCGUUAUGUUACAUUAAUAUCUAUAAUUUCUCAAAAUAAAAAAACGAGAAAAUAUUUCAAGUCUAUUUUUCUGCGUAAACGUUAUGAAAAAUACGCAUAAUUGGUUUUUCAA